rnacentral:rRNA from 1 species
UGGGGAAUUUUGGACAAUGGGGGCAACCCUGAUCCAGCAAUGCCGCGUGUGUGAAGAAGGCCUUCGGGUUGUAAAGCACUUUUGUCCGGGAAGAAAUCGCACCUGAUAAUACCGGGUGUGGAUGACGGUACCGGAAGAAUAAGGACCGGCUAACUACGUGCCAGCAGCCGCGGUAAUACGUAGGGUCCAAGCGUUAAUCGGAAUUACUGGGCGUAAAGCGUGCGCAGGCGGUUGUGUAAGACCGAUGUGAAAUCCCCGGGCUUAACCUGGGAAUUGCAUUGGUGACUGCACGGCUAGAGUGUGUCAGAGGGGGGUAGAAUUCCACGUGUAGCAGUGAAAUGCGUAGAGAUGUGGAGGAAUACCGAUGGCGAAGGCAGCCCCCUGGGAUAACACUGACGCUCAUGCACGAAAGCGUGGGGAGCAAACAGG